CCCCCCCCCCGCCCCCACGAUCCUGCUCACUCCCUGGUGCGAAUGAAUGUGUUGAUAAAAAAAUAGCCAAUGGUAAAAUGAAACAAAUACAUACACAGACAUAUGCGAGCCGUUUUACUCCUUUUACUUUGCAGUGGUCAUCACAGCAAAUGCUUGGAAUAAAGUUCAGGCUGAAACUAUACAGAAGCGCUUCAAGAAAACUGGAUUUGUUACAACCCAAGAGCAAGAUGUUGCAGCCUCACUAGGCAGCCCAUCUCCCAUGGAGGGAUUCGAGGGAGUAGAUUUUGAAGAGUUUGUUGCAAUGGAUUAUGGCAAUGUGCAAUGAACCUGACCUAGAAGCAAUUUUCCAAUCGGUAUGGAACGAGGUACAACCCAGCGGAAAAUGCUGGAAGUAAGUGAUGAAACAGAAGAAUUAAGUGAAGAAUUAGGUGAGGAGGACACAGAAAUUGCAGAUAUUCCAAAAGAAGAGGAUGUCAGUCAUUUGAUAAGGCAAUUAAAGUCAUUUGCCGUGGGAAAAUGCCCAGGUAUCUGAGUGAUAUAACCAGCAUUGAGAGUGCUUUCUCCACUUACUUUUAUAAAAAGAAUAAGAAACAGACUAAAAAGAAUGAACAGACUGAGGAAACAAUACAUACGUAAAUAUUGAUUUUGUAUGAUACAAUAUUUUAUUAAUAAUUUUCCUGUUUUCACUAUGUUUCUGUAUAACAUUCUCUAAUAAAAGUUGUACAAUAAAAUGA